CUAGUGGCUGGCUAGAUAACAGAACGCAGAACGAACAGAAGUAUGAUAUAUGCUCAGUUAGGGGCUGAAUAACCAUUGUAUUAAAAAAAAAAUCAAUUGCACCAACGAUGUAGCGAACACAUUGUGACGCGGUCAGAGUGUUGUGUUGCACUUUACAAUUUACACCCACCACCUAAAGAAGAGAAGCACCUGAGGAAAUGGAUGACUGCGAUAAAUUUGAAGCGCCCACCCAAGCGCUCUUAUGUGUGUUCGUACCAUUUCAUGGACGGGAAGGCGACUGACGAACACUUUUACCCCGAGAAAUGGCUCGACUACGAUGUUCCGUUAAAGAGGACACGCCGGGGGAUGAAAAGGUUGUCAGAUUCGGAAGACCAUCAGAUCAACUGGGAGGAGGAGUUCGUGGAGUAGAUGGGAUGGCUUUGUAAAUUAUGCAGUGCUGUUGUACCAGCAAAGACUGAUAUUCUGAAACAUUAUAGACUGCAUCAUGGGACCUUUGGACAUAGCCAUGCCUUGCCUUGUAUACAUAUGGACUGCCCAUGCUCUUUUAAAAAUUGGAGUAGCUUCCGCUGUCACUUAUCACGACAACAUCCAGCUGUUGACUCACUUAACUCACCUCAAGUAACUCUUUUCUUUACCUGCCUAUUAUGUAAAAAAUCUGGAUUCCCUAGCGAAAAGGAGUUUUUUGAAUACAUCGGUCAUCAUCUGAAGAAUAAUGAGAUUGUAGAGCGUUUUUGCAGGGACCGAUCACCAAACAAAUGUGUAUGGGACUUUUGGGACACACAAACACAGGAAGCAUACGCCACAUACUUCACAAGAUUUCAAACCAGGCAUUAUUUGUGAAAGGCAGUUAACUGAACAGGAGGAAUCACUUGUUUUUGAAGCCUCUGAAGAGGAUGAUGAUCACAAUGAUGCCAGUUAUCAAGUCUCUCGCUCACAUGCUCACUAUGAAGAGGAUGAUGGAAGCAAUGUGGUUGUAGAGUACACAGCAUCCCUCCUUUUGAAAUUAGAAAGUGUUCAUAAUGUUUCAAUUCGGCGCAUUGAUGAACUUCUAGAUGAUCUUCACUUCAUAGCAAGUUCUGCAUCCAUAACUGCAAUAAGAGAUAUUGUUGUUUCACACUUUAAAAAAAAAAAAAUUGUUCUAUUGCUGACACUGACACGUUUGUAACAUCUCUAGUGGAUGAAUUGUGCAAAUAAAUCCACUCUAAGCACAGCACUUAGUGCUGGAGUUCCUCUUUCAUCAUCAUUUAGAAGGCGACAGUAUUAUAAAGAAAUAUUUGCAGUUGUUGAGCCCGUUGAAUACAUCCUUGAACCAAAUGAAAAGAGAAGUUUCCAGUACAUUCCAAUUCUCCAGUCCUUAGUUCAGAUUUUGGGUAAAGAAAAUCUUCGAGAAAAAGUUCUGAGUAAAGAACAGGACCAGUUGUCAUUUAUUCAAUAUGGAUCAUAUCGUGAUGGUACAGUCUAUAAAGAGAAUCCCUUUUAUUCUGAAGAGCUAAGAAUUGCACUUGUGCUGUAUGUAGAUGACUUUGAAAUCUGUAACCCACUGGGAACAUGAAGAAAAAAGCAUAAAAUCACAGCUAUAUACUGGGACUUUGGCAACAUCCCUCAUUCAUCGCGAUCCACUCUUAACUCCAUAUACUUGGCCCUUUUACGCCAAGCAGUUGACAUCAAAAGAUUUGGCUAAGCUGAAGUGCUUGCUCCUUUGUUAAAAGACAUUGCUAUUUUGAAGAGUGACGGUGUCUACAUUUCAAGUGUUGGACAACAUGUUAAAGGCUCUGUGUUUUCUGUAGUCGCUGAUAAUCUUGGGACACAUUCAAUUUGUGGACUUGUGGAAAAUUUUUGUGGACCAUUCAUUUGUAGAUUUUGUCUUGGAGAGCGAUCAGAAUUACAAAGAAAGGAGGUGAGGUCAGGUGCAUUUCCUGCUCGGACUAAAGAGAAUCAUGCCACUCAUUUAUUGACUGUUAAAGAAAAUCCUGCUUUGACACACUGUUACGGUGUAAAAAAUGCUUGCCCACUUACUGAAAAUCUGAGCCAUUUCCACUGUGUGACUGGCUAUCCACCCGAUAUAUUGCACAACACUUUUGAAGGCAUCGUUCCCUUGGAAUUGGGUCUGUGCUUCAGUGUUUUUAUCUCAAAGAAAUAUUUCACUUUAAAUGAACUUAACAGUGCCAUCACACAAUUUCCGUAUAAAUGGGCUGACAAAACUGAUUGUCCUCAGCCAUUGCCUACAACCUUUUCCUCAAAAAAGAAGAUUGGAGGAAAUGCACAUGAAAAUUGGGCCCUCAUACGACUGCUGCCAUUCAUUAUUGGACACAGAAUACCUUUGAAUGAUCCAGCCUGGCUUCUACUCAUGUCUUUAAAAGACACUAUUGAACUUGUCGUUGCCCCAGUCCUCAACAAAGAAAGUGUUGCUUAUCUUGACUCAAAAAUUUCUGAACACCGACACAGAUUCCAAGAAGUAUUUCCUAAUGAAGGGUUAAUCCCAAAGCACCACUUCUUAGAACACUAUCCUGCAUUAAUAAAUGCUUUUGGACCUGUGAUUGCUUUCUGGACAAUGAGGUUUGAAGCGAAACACAGCCAAUUUAAGCAGAUUGUGAGACAUAUUGGCAACUUCAAGAACAUUCUCCUUUCUCUGGCCACAAAGCAUCCGCUUUUAUAAGUCACCACCUGCAUUCCACAACAGCUGUGCCUGCUCUGAGUGUUGUAAGAGUCACAUCAGUGCCAUUAGAUGUCCUGCAUAUAAAUGUUCAGGAAUCAAUCAAGCAUCUGUUUCCUUGUCAGUCUCAAGUACAGCUGGCUGAUACAGUCACCUUCCAUGGAACAAGGUACUCAAAAGGCAUGAUCGUGGCCUAUGGUUGUACUGCUGGUCUUCCUGAUUUUUCAGAGAUUCUUCAAAUUGCCCUUUUUGAGGAAAAGGUGCAUUUUAUUGUGAAAACACUCAUGCCCUGGUAUAAUGAGUACUAUCGUGGAUUUCAUCUUGAAAAGACCGAUCACAUAACUCUUGUUGAACAACAAAACCUUAAUGAUGUUUGUCCCCUGUCAGCCUAUAUUGUUGCAGGAAAGCUCAUGGUGACAUUAAAGCACCACAUCUGUCUCCAGUGUUGAGUAUGACUUUGUAUAACAUAUUUGUUUCUUAGUCUUUCGAGACAUGGAACCAACAGUCAGAUUCCGGGUCCUCAUUGAUCACGAGAUCAAAAAACUUACACUCAACAGUGGCAUACCCUCAACUGUGGAUGAAUUGGUUGCAGCCAUCAAAGAACAAUUUGCCAUCACCACAGAAAUCAGUCUUCAGUACAAAGAUGAAGAGUUUGAUGACUUUUUCACCCAAACGACCACAAAGGAACUCAAAGAUAAAGACACACUGAAAGUAGUGUAUGUACCGCUAAACAUAGCACUGAGCCUUGUUCCCCAGGAAAGCACCCCUGAUACCUCCAGUGUGUACUCUUUAUCCGAGUCUGUGACACACUCUGACGGCUCAGAUGAUACUGUGAUUCUGUCUCCUUCACCCUCUGAAAGGCAAAAUCCAUGGCCUGCUGUAUUUCCCAUUCCAACUUUCUCACACAACACUGAGCUGGCUUUGAGUCAAGGUAAUGAGAUUUAUUUAAGCGAUGGUACCCUACUGACAUCACCCAGUGUCAAAGCGUAUCUUGAGCGCCUGGCAGAGGCCAUGUUUUGCUACACAGCGUACCCAAAUGAUGCCCAGAGGUGUGCAGUAGCACAGGCACUAAUAGAAAAGCAUCCCUGUUUGAAGGAGCCUGGCUCUUUUAAUGGAAUAUAUGGGAGGCAACAAAGGCUGAAAUGCAAAUGUGGGAACUAUCGUACCAAACGUAAAGCAUUGGGAAGCCCUGAACUCCUGAUAAACUCAAUGAAAUACAAGAUGGGAGAUGACAGAAAACCUGCUAAAAACAUCAAGAAACCAAAGAGGGCAGAAGUAAAUUACCUGCCUCAGCACCCUUCUGGUGAAACAGACAGCAGCCUUGAGAAUGUGAGGCUUGACCAGAUAAUCAGAUAAUCUGUGUAUAAAUCAAGCUCCUCUGGCUCCUCCCAGUGUCCUAUUGCCAUUUGCAGAAACUCCAUCGCUCCCGGUAAGAAACAACCAAUCAGAGCUGCGGUCCGUAACUUUGUUUGUGUUCAAAAUGUAAAAAAAUGUAUAUAAUAAGCGAGUACACCAUGAAUUCAUUUUCCAAACCGUGUUUUUAGCUUGUCCUGAAUCACUAGGGUGCACCUAUAAUAAGUGUUUAUAUUCGGACUAUUUUAGAUUUCUUCGGGGAUACCGCGGCGGAGUAACCCAGUACCUUUGUGAUUCUUCAUAGACAUAAACAGAGAGAAGUAGUUCCGGCUACGAUGUUCUUCCGCAAGACGCAAGCAGUUCUGUUCAUUAACCGCUAGAGCGUCAAAAGUUCCCUACCGCAGCUUUAACCACGCCAAUGUGUUACCAGCUGAACCCCUCUCCCCUUUAAGGAUUUAGGCCUUGGAGGUGACUUGUGUAUGUGAUGUAGUCUAGCAGGUUUGUUGUGUCAAGUAAGACUGUACUGAAAAGCCGCGUUUCCACCGAAAUUACCCGGAACAUUUGUACCAGGAACUCCCCACCCCCCCCAGACCUGUUGCUUUCUGCGUUUCCACCGCGGUGUAAAGUACCAGGAAGAUUAGUCAAAUAGACAGGUGACGUAGGUCUGCGCGCGUCUCUCAAUACAAAGUACCGCUGAUUAAAAAAAAUAAAAUAAAAAAAAUAAUAAUAAUUACGCCGAUUUUGGACGUGCAUCAUCGGUAGUUAGUUCAGACUUUGUGCAUUCGACUGGGGAGUGUGAUGUCAGCGACGACGCGAAUCCUGCAUAUUUCCUCUCUGUAUAUUUACAAUAAAACGAAAUAGGAUAUGAAAUACCACUGCCUCCUUUCGUUUUCAUUUAAACAUAAUAACAGCUGCAGAAAUGUACUUAGUUCAGGGAUAUGUGUAUAUACAGCCAUUACAAUGAAAUGAAAUAUUAUAUAAAUUUGCCUUUUUUAUUUUCAUUUUAACAUAUAGAUAAAUUGAAUACAGACCAAAGAAACCUGUUAGAUUUACC